AUACGGAGGAUCCAAGCGUUAUCCGGAAUCAUGGGGUUUAAAGGGUCCGUAGGCGGGUUUGUAAGUCAGUGGUGAAAGUUUUCGGCUCAACCGGAAAAUUGCCAUUGAUACUGCAAGUCUUGAAUCAUUAUGAAGUGGUUAGAAUGUGUAGUGUAGCGGUGAAAUGCAUAGAUAUUACACAGAAUACCGAUUGCGAAGGCAGAUCACUAAUAAUGUAUUGACGCUAAGGGACGAAAGCGUGGGUAGCGAACAGGAUUAGAAACCCGAGUAGUCC
rnacentral:rRNA from 1 species